UACGUAUGUUCCAAGCGUUAUCCGGAUUUAUUGGGCGUAAAGCGAGCGCAGACGGUUAUUUAAGUCCGAAGUGAAAGCCCACAGCUUAACUGUGGAAGUGCUUUGGAAACUGGAUAACUUGAGUGCAGUAGAGGAGAGUGGAACUCCAUGUGUAGCGGUGAAAUGCGUAGAUAUAUGGAAGAACACCAGUGGCGAAGGCGGCUCUCUGGACUGUAACUGACGUUGAGGCUCGAAAGUGUGGGUAGCAAACAGG
rnacentral:rRNA from 1 species